UGCCAGCCGCCGCGGUAAUACGAAGGGUCCAAGCGUUAAUCGGAAUUACUGGGCGUAAAGCGCGCGUAGAUGGUCUGUUUAGUUGGGUGUGAAAUCCCUGGCUCAACCUAGGAACUGCAUCCAAAACUUACAGACUAGAGUACGGAAGAGGAGAGCAGAAUUCAUGGUGUAGCGGUGAAAUGCGUAGAUAUCAUGAGGAAUACCAGUGGCGAAGGCGGCUCUCUGGUUCGAGACUGACAUUGAGGUGCGAAAGCGUGGGUAGCAAACAGGAUUAGAUA
rnacentral:rRNA from 1 species